rnacentral:rRNA from 1 species
ACGGAGGAUCCGAGCGUUAUCCGGAUUUAUUGGGUUUAAAGGGUGCGUAGGCGGGUUUUUAAGUCAGUGGUGAAAGUUUGCAGCUCAACUGUAAAAUUGCCAUUGAAACUGAAGACCUUGAGUGUAAAUGAGGUAGGCGGAAUGUGUUGUGUAGCGGUGAAAUGCUUAGAUAUGACGCAGAACACCGAUUGCGAAGGCAGCUUACUAAGAUACAACUGACGCUGGGGCACGAAAGCGUGGGGAUCGAACAG